GUUCUGUUCUUCUGCCAAAUGAGGAAACCUAGGCAGCACCAUCUAUGGGCAACAGGGCCUCACCAGACACUGAACCUGAUGGCACCUUGAUCUUAGACUUCUCGGUCUCUUGAACUAUGAGAAAAUAAAUUUCUGUCUUUAUAAAUUACCCUGUCUCAGGGUUUUGUUAUAGCAGCAAAAAUGGACUAAGAUAAUGGUGAAGCUGUGGAAUAGCAGGUCUGGAGGCUCUACAUCUGAUGACAAAUGUUCUUAUAAAGGAGAAGACAUAAACGGAAGAGAAGAGCCAGAGAAGGCAAUGUGAAGGCAGAGGCAGAAAUUGGAGCCAUGUGUCUAUAAGCUAAGAAACACCCAGGAUUGCUGGCAGCCAAGAAAAGCACAGAAGAAGAUGGAACAGAUUCUCUCUCAAAGCCUCUGGAAAGAAGCAACUCUGCUGACACCUUGAUUUCAGACUUCUGGUCUCCAGAACAGUAAGAGAACAAAUUUGUAGUAAAGGCACCAAGUUGAUGGUAAUCUGUUAAAUGGCGGCCCUAUGAAACCAAUAUAAAUACCUUAAAGGAAGCACAUAUGCUUCAAAUUGUGUCAUACACAAAAAUUUGGAAAAAUGUGUAUUUUUCUAAAUUUAACAUAACAAAGUACAGUUAUAUAGCUUUCAUCUCUGUCUUCUCCAUCCUAAAUAUCUGAUUGUCUUUAGUAAUGCUAAGGAGACAAACUGAUGUCUCCAUUGUAAAGUUCCCCUAUCAAUGUUUCAUUUAAUCAUUUCUUUCACUGAUGAUGUUUGACUGAAUUAAUUAUUUCAUUAGGGGUUGCACAAUGGUCAUUUUUGAAGGCCAUUUUAAAAAUGUAUUAGCUGGGAUUCUUCUGCAAAGAAAAUCUUUCAACAAUUUUGGCAUUUUGAUUAUGGUGAGAUGUACUUAGUAUUGGGAAAUCUGAAUAAAUGCUUAAAUAUUUCUUUUUCACUGCUAAUUUUCAGAGUCAGGAGUUAGUGUCCUAGAUAGUUCCAAUGGUGACAAACGAGUAGUUAGGAACAUUUUUGGGGGAAUACGGGAUUGUGAACAUAAUUAUAAACUUAUGGUUUUUUAUGUAAGUCCAUAAUAUAUAAUACACAUUUGUAAUAACAUAUUUAGGAUUUUUAUUCAAUUGCAUUCCUUAUACUUUUUCUUGCACAUAUUGUCCAUAUUUAGUCAAGAGACUGCAUUGUAUGAGCUCUUUCGUUCUUCUGGCUUAACCUUUAGCCUUUGAUUGCUUCCUUGCUUUACCACAAAUAAGUAGUUC
rnacentral:lncRNA from 10 species